CCUACGGGAGGCAGCAGUGGGGAAUAUUGCGCAAUGGACGAAAGUCUGACGCAGCGACGCCGCGUGAGGGAUGAAGGUCUUCGGAUUGUAAACCUCUUUCAGCAGGGACGAAGCGAAAGUGACGGUACCUGCAGAAGAAGCACCGGCUAACUACGUGCCAGCAGCCGCGGUAAUACGUAGGGUGCAAGCGUUGUCCGGAUUUAUUGGGCGUAAAGAGCUCGUAGGCGGUUUGACACGUCGGAUGUGAAAACUCGGAGCUUAACUCCGAGCCUGCAUUCGAUACGGUCUAACUAGAGUGUGGUAGGGGAAACUGGAAUUCCUGGUGUAGCGGUGAAAUGCGCAGAUAUCAGGAGGAACACCAAUGGCGAAGGCAGGUUUCUGGGCCACCACUGACGCUGAGGAGCGAAAGCGUGGGGAGCGAACAGGAUUAGAUACCCUGGUAGUCCACGCCGUAAACGGUGGGCGCUAGAUGUGGGGACUAUUCCAUGGUCUCUGUGUCGCAGCUAACGCAUUAAGCGCCCCGCCUGGGGAGUACGGCCGCAAGGCUAAAACUCAAAGGAAUUGACGG
rnacentral:rRNA from 1 species